rnacentral:rRNA from 1 species
AGUGAACGCUGGCGGUAGGCCUAACACAUGCAAGUCGAACGGCAGCACAGUAAGAGCUUGCUCUUACGGGUGGCGAGUGGCGGACGGGUGAGGAAUACAUCGGAAUCUACUUUUUCGUGGGGGAUAACGUAGGGAAACUUACGCUAAUACCGCAUACGACCUACGGGUGAAAGCAGGGGAUCUUCGGACCUUGCGCGAUUGAAUGAGCCGAUGUCGGAUUAGCUAGUUGGCGGGGUAAAGGCCCACCAAGGCGACGAUCCGUAGCUGGUCUGAGAGGAUGAUCAGCCACACUGGAACUGAGACACGGUCCAGACUCCUACGGGAGGCAGCAGUGGGGAAUAUUGGACAAUGGGCGCAAGCCUGAUCCAGCCAUACCGCGUGUGUGAAGAAGGCCUUCGGGUUGUAAAGCCCUUUUGUUGGGAAAGAAAAGCAUCAGUUUAAUACCCCGCUGUUCUGACGGUACCCAAAGAAUAAGCACCGGCUAACUUCGUG